CCCAUAUCAAUCAGCUUCUUCCUGGACUAUACCAUUUGUACAGCGAAAGGUUACAACUAUCACCUUUUUAGAUUUUCAUAUCGAAAAACCACGAUCUUCCCAAUGCGACGACAAUAACUACGUUAAAAUAUAUAACGGGACGUCAUCAAGAGACAGACUUCUUCUAUUUGAAUGUGGCUAUAACAUCCCGCGUCCAGUCAGCUCGACCGUUAACCUAUACAUCGAAUUUCGUGCCAAAGGGCUGCACGGUGCACGCGGAUUUAAGUUAGCCUUCAGUUACGCACCCCUUGACGAGACCGAUUACACAGGUGAAAUACUUACUCCAAACUACCCGUUGAACUACUCAAACAAUUAUAGACACAAUUGGACAAUACCUGCUCGGCCUAACAAAAUAACCACAUUGACCUUUUUAGAUUUCGACAUAUUCACUCUUGAGGACUACAUAUGCGAGGGAUACAAUGGAAAAGAUUACCUUAGGAUACAUAAUGGGACGUCAGAUACAGACCCAAUCAUUUUUUUUUCGU